CACAGCCCAACACAUGCAAGUCGAGCGGAACGAGUUAACUGAACCUUCGGGGAACGUUAACGGCGUCGAGCGGCGGACGGGUGAGUAAUGCCUAGGAAAUUGCCCUGAUGUGGGGGAUAACCAUUGGAAACGAUGGCUAAUACCGCAUAAUCUCUUCGGAGCAAAGAGGGGGACCUUCGGGCCUCUCGCGUCAGGAUAUGCCUAGGUGGGAUUAGCUAGUUGGUGAGGUAAUGGCUCACCAAGGCGACGAUCCCUAGCUGGUCUGAGAGGAUGAUCAGCCACACUGGAACUGAGACACGGUCCAGACUCCUACGGGAGGCAGCAGUGGGGAAUAUUGCACAAUGGGCGCAAGCCUGAUGCAGCCAUGCCGCGUGUAUGAAGAAGGCCUUCGGGUUGUAAAGUACUUUCAGCAGUGAGGAAGGUUCAUGCGUUAAUAUCGUAUGGAUUUGACAUUAACUGCAGAAAAAACCGCGGCUCACUCCGUGCCAACCGCCUCCGUAAUACUCACGGUGCAACUUU
rnacentral:rRNA from 1 species